AAUCCUUGUGUCAUGGUUAGACUACUAAUCAUAGAUCACACAAUAAUGUUUAUCUACUGGCUUACUGAGUCCUGCAAAGUCACAGCAAACAUGUCAGUGGGUGCAUGCUUCAUUCAAAAAAUGCUUUCAGAUAGCUGUGCAUCAGAGAGUAAUACUCAAAUAUCAGUAGUAUUGAAAGAUUGCACAAGAUUCUACUCUUUGUAUUGACAUCUGAAAAUUAAUUUUAUAUAGAUAAUAAUGUCCAAACUAUUUUCUAAUUACUUAUGUAAUUAGAAAUGUAAUGUUUUAUCAACAUUCUGUAAAUCUAUUUUACAUCUUAGAUUUAAAAUUUUGGCUGUUUUGGGCAUAAAACUUCUAAUUAUGAUUAAAUAUAUUAUAAACAUUAUUAGGAAAAUAUGAUUCCAUAAUAAAGGUAGGGCUAUGGUUUAUUUUGAAAUGCAGACUAUAGCUAAGCAGCAUUCAUUCUUAUUCAAAAGACUUAGAAGAGUGUUGUGAAAGAUCAGUUGACAAAUGUAAUGUGUAGUUCCUUACCAUUGAGGAUGAACAACUCUGUUUUGAAAUAAUAAAAAGCAGAAUAUUGCUCAAAGUUUAAAUAUUAAAGGUACCAGAUCCCCCAGAAGCAACUCUGAACUAUGUAGUUAUUCAUUUUUUUUUAAAUCUAUUUUUCUGUCUUCAGUACAAGUCUCUAGCUUCUGUGAGUGUUUUUGCUGCAUUUUUAUUCAGUCCUUUGUGCUGCUAAAUAGUAGUAUGCCUGAAUGAGUUAAUUUACAUUUAAUUUAUUGGGAAUUUUAAGAGUUUGUUUAGAAAUGGAUAAUCUAAAUAAGCAAUUUAUGUAAAAUCCUUUGUUUUUCUUUCCCAAAAGAGUUCAUAAUCAUAUAUCACACGACAGAGUAAACAUUUCAGAAGAAACAGUCAAGUUACUUAAAAAACUGCAAAGUAGUCAUAGAAAAACUGAGCACACUGCAGAAUCCACAAUAGCUCUCGGAUGCACAAUUCCAGGAUGAUUUGUUUAAAGCAAGACUUACUUACAACAUGCCUGCAAUAUGAUGGUCACGCUUUUGGACGUUUCCUUUGUGCUAUACUUUGAUUCUUUGCAUAUAUUAAUUAUUACAUGCUAUUCCUACUGAAUUGGUGAUCUUACCUAGAGGCUAACAAGAGUGACUACUUGUUAGACUAACAUAACCAAGAAUAAUUUCCCAGGACAACUUGUGUCAUUUCAUUCACAUGAAAAAAUAAAAUUAAACAAGACCACUCAGUAAACAUUGAUUCUUCUUAAACAUAUGUCUAAGAUGUAUUGUACAUAUUUUACUGAAACAGAAUAAAGUUAACUUGGGAAUCCCUUCUCUUCAUAAUACCACAUUGUUGCAGUCAGUGUGUUUCAACUAACAAGCCAUUUUGAGGGAUGGGUAACUUUUUAAAAAUAGAAAUGUAUAUUUUCUCAUAAUAGAUGAUCACAAUAUUUCAAUUUACAGUAUGUAAGGUUAAAAAUACAUAAGACUUAAAUUUUCCAGACUUGUUAAACUGAAAAUCCAUGUACACAAUAAAUCUCACGCUUUGUAACUCUUGCUUAAAUCUUUUGUAAUGUAAGGUAUUUAUGAAAAUUUGAAGCAUACCUUUUUG
rnacentral:lncRNA from 1 species